GACGCCUGCCCGGUGCUGGAAGGUUAAGAGGAGUGCUUAGCGUAAGCGAAGGUACGAAUUGAAGCCCCAGUAAACGGCGGCCGUAACUAUAACGGUCCUAAGGUAGCGAAAUUCCUUGUCGGGUAAGUUCCGACCCGCACGAAAGGCG
rnacentral:ncRNA from 1 species